AAGGACUAUGACAUAUAUUUCAGAAUCAUACACCAAGUGAUUAGAGACUGAGUUAGAGUGCUGGAGGAUAUGUGUCGAUGGGUCGAUGUCAGGAUUGCCUUUCGAGUUAGCUAUUGUGAACGCCUUAAAUGUAAACAAUAUCCGACUUUAUACGUAAUUUAAAGAUUUUAGAUCUACUUCUCCUGAAUUCCAAAAAAAAAAAAACCUCCUUAGCCUAUCCAAAAAAGAACUCUUAUCUAUACUAUUACUAAGUAAAGAGAAAUAUACUGAGCGAUUAAAGAUGUUUUAAGGUGAGUUUUUUUUGGUAUAUAAAAUGGAUAUAAUUUUAACCAAAUAAUGAUAAAAUUAAAUAUUUUAGAAAAGUGAAUUAUAAGAAGAAAAAAGAUAUUGUUAGAGGAUGGAAUAAGAUUAGGG
rnacentral:lncRNA from 1 species